CACCAGUGUGUGCUUUUUAAACUAGGAGGAAUAGGAUGCUACUGAAGGAGUUACAUAAUUUUCCCAAGCGAUGCAACCUUGGACACCUCUAAACUCCUCGGUUUUCCCAUCUAUAAAAUAAAGGAAAACCCAAGAAUAGAAAUCCUGCCCUUCCUCUUCUCACCUGGGAGGUAGAGAUUGACCACGGCAGGAACUCUGAGAAAAGCAAGUGGUGUACAACACAAACUACACAUGUGAACUUCAAGAUAGCCAGUGGGUUCAGGGUUAUGGACUGUCCAGAUCAUGCCUCCCACCAGCAGUGGCUUUCGGUUUUCCUGAGCCUCCAUGAAGGAAACAGCCUGCUUCCUCCCAGAGCUCUAAAUCCAAAGAGAUUCUCCAGGUGCCUGGAUUCCAGAAAGAAGGAAAACACCAUUGUAUUUUUCCCGAGAAGUUUACAGGCUCUGGCUGCCGAACUCCAGGACUUCGAGAGCUACUUAUGGCUAUAAAGGGUACACCUCAACUACAUGUGCCCCUCUUCCUCAUAUCUCCUAUGUCCUUCCUGAAAUUCAGGGUCCCUUCCUGCUGCCACCCAGGAGUCAGAGACAACCUGGCUUCAGGCUUGUGCUGUGGACCUCUCACCAACUAUGUGGCAUAAAAUCUCUCCCUUCACUUGAGACCUAUAAAAAGGGAUCCCCCACUCUGUCUGACAGCAUGCUGCCUGCCUGUCUGUCCAUGGUAUUCAUAGUUCUUCUAAUAAACACAAUGAGACAAUCAGCCUUAGUGUC
rnacentral:lncRNA from 1 species